AUUUAGUGAGUGCGUUGGUUUUUAUUUUGAGCGUUUUAAUUUAAUUUUAUCCCCCUAAGUUAAGGCUUCACUGUGAUGGAAAACCAAACAAUAAAGUCCUCAAAAUCAAGCGGAGCAGGAAGACCUGAACCACCCCUUACGCGCUCCAGGUCUAAAGCUCAAGGGCAGCAAGAACCUGUGCAGACCAGCUCCAGGUCUAAAGCUCAAGGGCAGCAAGAACCUGUGCAGUUUCAGGAUGAUCUCUUGGCACAGGAGGAAGCAGAGCCCAAGCAUGUGAGAGAAAUUUAACUGAUUGUAUUUAAUAAAAAAC